AGCUGAGUGUUGGUGACAGACUGAGAGAGAAGGAGUAAAGCACAGCAUUGUGUUUUACAGCAGCCCAGUGGAACAAAGGGAUCUGUGGUGAAAUCCCUCCUGUGAACUGCUGCCAUCCCGAUUCCAGGUGCUCUUCCCACUGGCAAACAGCCUAAGGAGGAGCUGUUUAUAGAUCUCCUUCUGGCAGCUGGAUGAGAAGGGAAUGCCAUGGCAAAGGAGGGAUUACCAAGUUGUAUCCAGAGGGAACAGCAGUGCUGUGUGUUACUCAUAUCACCACUGCAACAGAACCGUGUCUGGGGAAAUCAAGAACUGAGCAGAUCCUUUUUUAGUCCCACUCAUUUUCAGGGUGGCCCUUCCCAAACAAAGACAAGCAGUCAGGACACAUUCCUUGAAGAGUUGGGCCUAACAAUAUGGCAGCGCACGGGCCAGAAGAAAUCUUGCAGAAUGCUGCUGCUGCUGAGCUCCCAGGGCACAAUACGUGUGGUUGUGCAGGAUGUGGCUGUUCCUGCAGGACCACGUGCUCCCUGCCCUUCUGUCUCCAGAGCUCCCUGACUUCUGGGGGGGCUCCUGAAUCCCGUUUUACCUCCAACACGGAAGUUAUCCUGGUUUUUCAAAGAUGCUCAUCCCCUGCAACGUGAAUUUUGAGUGCUGCGAGCUGGACACUUUUAAGAAACCAGCAGCUCUGGGUUUAGGGUGCAGCAGAGCCUGCAGUGCAGCGUGAAGUGAUGCAGAAGUGUGGAUGGCACCGGGAGCUGCUGCGCCUGCUCCUGCUGCUAUUCCUGGCACGCAGAGACUGAGCAGCGUCUGAUGGGCCAAAUGGAAGAACUGAAAAUAGUCCACAGUGAAUUCCUGGAGGAGAUGGGAAAAGAUCUGUGGGCUGCAGGCCCCCAGUCUCUGAUUUACAGUCUCUCCUUUACAGGUCAGAUUCCCAAAAUGUCCCCAACCUUUCUGCGUGUUUCUGAAGUUGAAUUUGGGUUCAGCAGUUUAGGCUCUAAUUGAACAGCCUCAACAGGGCAUCAGAUGGGGAUAACAAAAGCACUCUGGACACAGCAGCUUUCUUCCAAGGACCUCAAUCCCUCCCAGGACACGGUGAGC